rnacentral:rRNA from 1 species
GUAGGCCUAACACAUGCAAGUCGAGCGAUCCCUUCGGGGAUAGCGGCGGACGGGUGAGUAACGCGUAGGAAUCUACCUAAUAGUGGGGGACAACCUGGUGAAAACCAGGCUAAUACCGCAUACGCCCUACGGGGGAAAGCAGGGGAUCUUCGGACCUUGCGCUAUUAGAUGAGCCUGCGUUAGAUUAGCUUGUUGGUGAGGUAAUGGCUCACCAAGGCGACGAUCUAUAGCUGGUCUGAGAGGAUGAUC